rnacentral:tRNA from 1 species
GACUUGAUAGCUCAGUUGGUAGAGCACUGCACAGGUAUCACAGAGAUCAUGGGUUCGAAUCCCGUUCAAGCCU